CUCCCCCUGCUUGUGUUCCCUCUCUCGCUGGCUGUCUCUCUCUGUCAAAUAAAUAAGUAAAAUCGUUAAAAAAAAAAAGAGAGAGAGAGACUGGGGAGAGGGACAGAAGGAGAGGGAGACAAGUACACUCCCCGCAGAGUGGGGGCCCAACUCAGGGCUCGAUCUCACAACCCUGAGAUCAUGACCUGAGUCAAAAUCAAGAGUCAGAUGCUUAACCGACUGAGUCACCCAGGUGCUCUUUGGCAUCUGUCUUUAAAUCUCAUAACCAGCCUAAACUAGAUUUUGUAAUCCAAUCUGAUAAUUUCUUUUAACUGUUGGAUUGAGCUCAUUUUCAUUUAUGUUUACUGAUAUAUUUAUAUUUAUUUGCAUCUUUGUGUUUUCUGUUUAUUCUUCUAUUUCUGUAACUCCUUUUUUUCCUCCAUUUCUGCUACUUCAAGUUCUUUUUCUCCUCUAUUCUUUUGAAAGUUUUACAUUCUAUUUUUAUUCUUUCAGGAUUACUGUUUAAAGUUCGUCAAUAUCUUUAUCCUCCUAGGAAAUAUACAAAGACCUGAGGAGAAUGCCCUGGUCCUUGUACCACACGCCCCUCUGUGCAUUUAUUCCUUCCCAGUCACCUAGUACUGGCAGGGUUUUGUGCAGUCACUGAUUGUUUCUCUUUGCUCACAUUCUUUACUCACCGAGCCUACAUCUCACUCCUUUCUACUGUCCGUUUUCCUCAUUCUGAGGUGCAUCUGAUAAUAUUUCUUUCAUGAGCGGUUGUCACUGGCAAAAUUCAUUCUUGUUUGUCAGAAAAUGUCUAGAACUCCAGUUUUCUCUGUGGCUGUUGUCGUGCCAUUUGUUUUUUGUAUUUGAUCAUCUUGCUUGCUUGAUUAAAACACUUCCACAGCCCUCUGCUGUCCCCAGUGUCUAGCCAGUGGAGGCUCAUGGAAGUAUUUUAAUCCGAAGAGUGAGGUGAUCGGAUUCCCUCUCACUCGGGGUCAGCAAGAUUUCCGGAUAGAGGAAGGCUGUACUUGCUGUGGUCACAGGAGGCUAGGGAGAGGUGACUGUAGCCCGAACCAGUGGUGGUUAUAGGACUGGGGAGAAGUACUGAAUUGGGGAGCUGUAUUUAAGAAAUAAACUCUACAGGGUGAGGGAAGGAGAUGAAGGAGAAUGACAAUUUCCAGGCUCCGGCAGCCGAGGAGAUGGUGGUGCUGGUCAUUAAGAAACACAAGAAGAAACUGGUUUUGGGAGUGAGGAGGAUGAGCUCGUUCAGCUUUGGAUGUGUUGUGUUUUCAGUAUCUGGAUGUGCUCGUGGAGAUCGCGGACAGGCAGCGGGUUACGCUAGCCUGGAGCUGAGGUACUGGGCCUGAGCUGGAACUAGAGGUGGGGCCCUGGAUGAGGUGCUGGAUCAGCACGGGGUGGGAGGCAGAGCCAUCGGAGCUAAGGGCUACAGGGCAGCACUGGGAAACCGCGAGAGACAAGCUGGCCUGGGACAGAACACUGGUGAACACGGUAUUGGAAGAGCACACGAUCAGAAGAAAGGAGCCAUCAAAGGAGACAAGGAGCGGCCAGAGCAAGGGGGUUAAAACCAGAAGAGGCUGCAGUCGCAAGUCCCAUGAAGACAACUCUUGAUGAAAAGGGAGAAGGAGCAAGCCAUAAAUCGAGCUGGUAUUGUUCAAGAAGACGUGCAGCCACCAGGGUUAAAAGUGUGGUCUGAUCCAUUUGGCAGGAAAUGAGAAGGCCAUCACCACUUCGAUUAUGAAAGACAUCUUCAUGCUUUCCGUUCUGCCACAAGUACAAUUAAUUGCCUCACUACAGAAGGAUGGCUGGAGAAGAAAACUCUAUAAAGCUGAAAAUAAGAGUAUUGUGCACAAGGAUUAAUAUUUCCCUUCUGAAGUAUCAAAAGAACCCUGGAGCAAACCACACCAUUAGGGAGGUUUUCAUGAUUCGCUUUACUGUCUAAAAAUGAAGCUCUCUCACCCAGCUGUGUUUGGAGGAGAUCUACUCAUUAUUCAGCCUCUGCUGCUUUCCUAACCAAGCUGUGAUGUGACUGCAAGCAGCCAGGAGACUUGGGAAGAUCCUGGUCUGUCUUGCCAUCCUCCAAACAGGAAAUUUCAGUGACAAGCCAGCACGCUGAGCAGCCUCACAGGGCUCUUGGAAACAUUAAAGUUGAUAAAACUCUGAAGACAAGGUACAUUGUACUCUUUAAGAAUAACAAGUUCAGCUUAGCCAUCUCGCCGAAGGCUGCCACAUGUUGGAAAAUAGGUAAAUAGGAAGCAAGUUCAACCAAAUGUUUGUGCGUGCAUGAUAGAAAUCAGUGUUGAAUUAACAGAAGUGAAAAUAUGUAUAUUAAAAGGAUCUAGUUUUAAUUCA